rnacentral:rRNA from 1 species
GAUGAACGCUGACAGAAUGCUUAACACAUGCAAGUCUACUUGAAUUUGGGUUUUUUAACUUAGAUUUGGGUGGCGGACGGGUGAGUAACGCGUAAAGAACUUGCCUCACAGUUAGGGACAACAUUUGGAAACGAAUGCUAAUACCUGAUAUUAUGAAUAUAUGGCAUCAUAUAAUUAUGAAAGCUAUAAGCGCUGUGAGAGAGCUUUGCGUCCCAUUAGCUAGUUGGAGAGGUAACGGCUCACCAAGGCGAUGAUGGGUAGCCGGCCUGAGAGGGUGAACGGCCACAAGGGGACUGAGACACGGCCCUUACUCCUACGGGAGGCAGCAGUGGGGAAUAUUGGACAAUGGACCAAGAGUCUGAUCCAGCAAUUCUGUGUGCACGAUGACGUUUUUCGGAAUGUAAAGUGCUUUCAGUUGGGAAGAAAAAAAUGACGGUACCAACAGAAGAAGUGACGGCGAAAUACGU